ensembl:lncRNA
AUGUAUAAUUUAAAACAUUGUAAUGAAUUGCAUAUGAAAAAUGAGGAAAAGGGAAAUUUCAAGGAUGAAUAUAUUGGGUUUCUCCUCUCUGAAGGUGGAUGCAUGGUGACGUCAUUCAGAUAUCAAAGAAAUUCAGAAGAAGAUCAGAUUGAAGGCAGAGAAAAGAGACUGGAUUUGUCAAGUUGGGAACAUAGAAUUAAUUUUUAUGUCAUCUUGGAUAAAACAGGUUGGCCAUACAGAAUAAACACGAACCUGUUAAACAAGCAGAAUUUUGGAGGAAGUACAUAUACAUAUUAA